rnacentral:lncRNA from 1 species
CAAAGAUAAGGUUUAUAUUUGAAGAUAUGUGAUUUAGAGUGUAUGCUCAGAUGCAAUUUGUUAUCAUAAGAAGGGACAAGGCAUCUUCAGAAUUCUAGGUGGCUUUUUUGUUUUGUUUUGUUAUUGUGUUGUGGUUUGUGUUUUUUUUUUUUUUCAGACAUUUUCAAGACGCAGGCUGUGUAAAGAGCAAUGUAGCCUGAGAAAGAAUUCCCACUAGAGGCCAUGGAAAUUCAGAAAAGUAGUGGGGACUACACGAAAAAUUUGUGUUAAAAAAUUGAAAUGAAACCGAGAUUUUGGGUUGCGAGAAGUAUGUGCAAUAUUCAAAGAGUUUUCAAAAUAGGAACUUGCAAAUGAACUCUGAAUGGCUCCUAAACACCAUGGACCUCUUGUAGGAUUCCUUGGAGUUGAAAUUGAGGUGGCAGAAAAGAUGCAAAACGCCAAGUGUGACAUCAUCAGCAACUGGUGGCGGUUGUGGAAUCAUAAAUAAUAUUUUGUAGACUUGGAUGAAAAAUAAAUCCCCUGAAAGAUGUGCA